GUUCCUGGUGAUGAUUUUACUGUAAACCAUGCUAAUUCUGAACAUCUAGUGAUUGAUAACAAAUUUCUAUACUUCUCUGAAGGAACG